GUCAUGCUGGCAGCAAUGGGCCCUGUGCAGCCAUAGUACUACAGGGAAAACGUUUUUUUCCGAGAGAUGAACGGGGUCCAUUGUAACUGUAGAGAAGAAUUGGAUAUAAGCCAACAAAUCAUUUGAUUGUCGACUUGAAGUUCAUUUCUGGGUGUGUCAGUUCACAAGCAGCCUGAAGAGCAGCAUCAAGACCCAUUUGCUGAAUUCCCAUGACGACCUGCCUCCCGCGAUGGCCUCCUCCGGCUUUGAGGAAGAGGAGGCUGUAGUGAUGGAGCAUAUAGCCCCCCGCACCCCCGACUCUCCCUAUAACCUGGAACUCGAGCUCACGUCCGAGUCCAAUCACAGUGACGAUGACCCCAUGGAUCACAUGGGUCUGGACCGCAUGUCCUUCCUGCUGCCCAUGUACGGCAUUCUGCCCAGCAUGAGUCCACGAUCAUGUGACAUGGGCAUGAGUUCGAACUGUGACGGUGGUCUUCAAGUGGCGGAGACCUGUGAGGUCAGCACUCUGUUUGAGGAUGAAGAUGACGAAGAGGAGGAGGAGGAGGAGGGGGCAGAUGGAGAGGAGCCCACCAUCUUCCACCUGAAGGCCUCCUGCCCCCUGGUCCGCCCACCCAACCAGCUGGACGACCAGCUGGCCCAGUCCGCCCACCUCAUGACCCUGGGGCUCUGCCGGAUCUCCAAGACCCCCAACGUGUCCACUCCCCCGGCUCAGGUGCCCGCUUCUGUGCUGGAUGACAAGGUGGCCCCGCCUGCGUCCGCGGACCCGCUGGGCUCCAGAGGGCCAGCUGGCCAACAGGGGGUGAAGGCAGAGGAGAGGCCGGCCAGCGGAGGGUGUCGACAGUGUGGCCGGAGAAUGAGGAGGCAGGGGAAGACGAAGAGCGGCAAGACGCAGAGCUGCCGUGCGUGCCAGCGCUCCGAUAGAACCCAGCACGCCGGUGACGCGCGAGCACCUCACAGACACUCACAGACACUCACCGCUACCGCACAAAGCACCAAGGCAGCUGCUGAGCACCACACGCACACACCCAACGCGCAGAGAGCUGGCAAGGGCAAGCGACACACAUUGAGCAUACAGUCGUCAGGAACACACACAGAGGGCACACGGACAGACCGCACGAACGCCAAAGACAUUCGCGUGCAGCCGCGACGCAUGGCUGAGCGGUGUGUUCUGUGACUACAAAGGUGCAGCGGUUGUCACACACAAAACUGAGGAGGAAAUCGAUCGCCGCCUCUCAUCAAGACUGACAGACACACCUUCUUACCAACCAACCAGUAGGGGGCGGAGCCACAAUGGGGCAGAAUCCACCCAACCUCACAGGACCAGGAAGCAGAGCAGAAGCCCAGAGGGGAACACGGGAUCGAAGAAGAAAGCCCCCAAGGAGACCAUUGGUCGAAGGGACCUGUGCUGUCUGCUCUGUGACAGGAAGUUCUGCAGCAGGCUGACCCUGCGUCGUCACAUGGGCAUCCACCAGGGUAGCAAGCCUUACAGCUGCCAGCUGUGCCCCUACCGCAGCCGCCUCAAGGCCUCCCUGCUGCAGCACAACCGCAUCCACACAGCAUACAGAAGAAGUGUCUGGACCUCCACGCCCGCCGCCACCACACGGGCGAGUCGUUCCCAUGCCAACAGUGUCCGUACUCCAGUCCGGACCGCCAGCUCCUUCUGCGACACGUGCAACGGCACCACUUACCCCUCGCAGCGUUACCAUGACAACCCUCACAACGACUUUAAACCACAACCCAUAGUGAUUGCAGUUUUUAUACACGUCACAGGUCGCUAGGACGUGACCAGUACAACCACAUCUAGAUUUUUGUAUAUUUUCUUUAAUAAAAUAAUGGAUUUAAGAAAUGUAAUCUUACUUUCUUUAAAACAGUUGAUUCAUUCUUUCACUGUGCAUAAACAGCUUCGAUUCAG
ensembl:lncRNA